UACAUGGGGGUGCAAACGUUGCUCGGAAUUAUUGGGCGUAAAGCGCACGUAGGCGGUUCGUUAAGUCGGAUGUGAAAGCCCUCGGCUCAACUGAGGAAGUGCACCCGAAACUGGCGAGCUAGAGUACGAAAGAGGAUCGCGGAAUUCCCGGUGUAGAGGUGAAAUUCGUAGAUAUCGGGAGGAACACCGGUGGCGAAGGCGGCGAUCUGGGUCGAUACUGACGCUGAGGUGCGAAAGCGUGGGGGAGCAAACAGG
rnacentral:rRNA from 1 species